rnacentral:rRNA from 1 species
UUUAUGGAGAGUUUGAUCCUGGCUCAGGAUGAACGCUGGCGGCGUGCCUAAUACAUGCAAGUCGAGCGAACGGACGAGAAGCUUGCUUCUCUGAUGUUAGCGGCGGACGGGUGAGUAACACGUGGAUAACCUACCUAUAAGACUGGGAUAACUUCGGGAAACCGGAGCUAAUACCGGAUAAUAUUUUGAACCGCAUGGUUCAAAAGUGAAAGACGGUCUUGCUGUCACUUAUAGAUGGAUCCGCGCUGCAUUAGCUAGUUGGUAAGGUAACGGCUUACCAAGGCAACGAUGCAUAGCCGACCUGAGAGGGUGAUCGGCCACACUGGAACUGAGACACGGUCCAGACUCCUACGGGAGGCAGCAGUAGGGAAUCUUCCGCAAUGGGCGAAAGCCUGACGGAGCAACGCCGCGUGAGUGAUGAAGGUCUUCGGAUCGUAAAACUCUGUUAUUAGGGAAGAACAUAUGUGUAAGUAACUGUGCACAUCUUGACGGUACCUAAUCAGAAAGCCACGGCUAACUACGUGCCAGCAGCCGCGGUAAUACGUAGGUGGCAAGCGUUAUCCGGAAUUAUUGGGCGUAAAGCGCGCGUAGGCGGUUUUUUAAGUCUGAUGUGAAAGCCCACGGCUCAACCGUGGAGGGUCAUUGGAAA